UCAAUGGUAAAGUGCCCCUGGGUUCAAUCCACAGUAUGGGGGUUUAGUUGGGGGAAGACAUAUUAGAAAGGUGGUAUGCACUGUAGUCCCAGCUACUAGGGAGGCUGAGGCCAGCGGAAUGCUUGAGCUCACGGUUGGAGAUCAGCAUGGGCUACUCUGUCUCAAAACAACAAAAUUAAUUCCCUGUCUUCCUGGAGUUUACCUCUAGUGAGCGAGACAGGCUAUAACAAGAGAGAAGCGGUAUCAAGAUGCAGGAUGGUGUUAUAGAUAGGAGGUUUGAAAAGCAUCUGGAAAGAUGAACAGGUGUUAGCAGUAAAGGUCAUUCUAAUCUGUUCCAUAAAGUCCUGCUUGGGGUGAGCACAGAUGGCCGGAAAGGAGGGAGGUGGGGGGCAGGAAUGGGUGAGAAAGAAGGAACUCUUUAGGUAUAACUGGAUCGCAGAUGAAAUGGAAGGAAUAGGAGCCUUUCCUCCAAAAAAAUAGUUUGGAAGAGAAUUCAUUCCAUGUUUUUCAGAGACAAAAGGGACAUUAAGAGGUAAAGAAAACAAUACUCUCUUAUUUUACAGAUGAAGAAAACAAGACUCAGAGGGUGAAAUAAUUUGUCCCAAGCCACCCAGCUAGUGUGUGGGGAGGCGGAGGGCAGAACUAGGAUUAACCUCGUUUCCUGUUACAACUCAGGCAAGGCCUCACUCCUGCCCCUGGAGAGCGCAGCGAUUUGGAGCGGGAAGGCCACAUCCCUUUGAAAAACUGCCUGGGUCUCCUGACCCCGGC
rnacentral:lncRNA from 1 species